UACGGAGGGGGGCUAGCGUUGUUCGGAAUUACUGGGCGUAAAGCGCACGUAGGCGGAUAUUUAAGUCAGGGGUGAAAUCCCAGAGCUCAACUCUGGAACUGCCUUUUUUGAUACUGGGUAUCUUGAGUAUGGAAGAGGUAAGUGGAAUUGCGAGUGUAGAGGUGAAAUUCGUAGAUAUUCGCAGGAACACCAGUGGCGAAGGCGGCUUCCUGGACCGGUUCUGAC
rnacentral:rRNA from 1 species